UACAGAGACUGCAAGCGUUAUUCGGAAUCACUGGGCUUAAAGGGCGCGUAGGCGGCUCAUCAAGUCGGGGGUGAAAUACUUCAGCUUAACUGGAGAAGUGCCUUCGAUACUGGUGGGCUUGAGGGAGGUAGGGGUCUUUGGAACUUCUGGUGGAGCGGUGAAAUGCGUUGAUAUCAGAAGGAACGCCGGUGGCGAAAGCGAAGGACUGGACCUCUUCUGACGCUGAGGCGCGAAAGCUAGGGGAGCAAACGGG
rnacentral:rRNA from 1 species